GUAGGGUUCGUAUGAAUCCCCUCGUUCGGUUGUUUCUGUCUACUGAACGAGAGGACGUUCGGUUGUUUGGAACCGAACGGACUGGGCUUGUGGAGGUCUCAGCGGGGUUCGCCUAGUCGAGUGUCCAAUUUGAGUUCCAGACACUCGACGACAAAACAUUAAAAUUGACGCCACCACGUGUUCGUUUCCCGAAUGCCGGCCACCCCGCGAACAAAGGACCUACUGCAUAGCUUGUUAAUUACCCGUUUGCAACAUUGUUGCAAUGGGUAAUUGAAGGCACACUUCACAC